GAUAGAAUACCACCGGUGGAUCCAUUUACUUAGUUAGUUUCCCUAUCAAAUUCUCAUGAAAAACCCCUUUCAAUCACCAAACAAGGGAAUGGGACUAGGAGACUAUUUCCCACGUCCAAACCCUCCAGCCAACUCCCACUGCUAAUUCCCAUUCCCCUUCGCUGAGACUGCCAAACACGCUGUAACUCCUAGCGAUCUUGUCCCGCCGCCACCCACCUAGUUUUCUCCACAAGCCAAACCGCAGCCAAAUUCCCCCCACAGCUCGUGUCCCCAUGGACGCGUCCGCCUGCCCGUAGCCCGGCAUCAAGCAGGAGUAGCAGCUCCCGCCGCACCUGCCGGAGCCCCAAUUUCACCUCGCCGACCGGUCUCCUCGGAGCUCCACCAGCAGGCCGACCAGCAUCGCGCCCCUCUCCUGCUCCUCUUUCCUUCCUUCCCUUCUUNNNNNNNNNNNNCUCUCUCUCUCUCUCUUUGCAACCUCGAACAGGAGCAGCGAGCAACGCCAUGGAAGGCCACCGUCGCGGGCAUCAGCAGGGACCUUCUCGACCACUAGAUCUGGCGCCUCCACUCUACGCCCCUGCUAUUUGACCUCCCGACCUCCGAUGCGCGCCUCCCGAUGCAUGGCGUCGUCUUUGCUUCCUGUGCUCGAGCGGGAGCUCUCCAUGGCCACAGGAACCAUCGUCGCGGGCCACCAUCUCGUGACGGGUCUGGUCGGAAUGGAACUCCCGUUCCGCGCCACGCCAGGACACGGCCUUGCCCCCUCGCCUGCAGCUCGCCUUGAGCAACCCCCCGACCCUCUCCAUCUUCGGGCCAUGCACGCGGCCUCUGUUGGCCCCGCUGUGAGCAUCCUUUCCAUAACUGAACUUCGUGUUGCAUUCAGAUCCGUUCUGGCAUGUUAAGGAUAUUUAGAAGUGCAUGUAUUUUAUAAAAUGAGGACAUAUCUAGCCGAGUUGGCUAGCUCGGCAGUUCUGCACCUGCGGGAUCCUCGAUUCGAGUCCAAGUGGCUCCAAAUUAUGUAUAGUUUAAUUUUUUACACAGCCACACACCCAAGCACGUCGGCCGGAAGCUUCCACUGACUGCAGCCCAGUGCAUAGAUUCGGCCCGUUGCAUUUUUUUCUCUCGACGAAUUUGUCUAAUUAGCUCGAGCAUUUUAAAGUUACACAUUAGAUGCCUAUUUUAAAACUCCCGUAUCUUUCAAACCCGUCGGAUCGAAAUAAAUUAGAUAUGAAAAACGUGUAGAGUUUCGUGUAGAUUAAUAUUUCCAACUUUCGUGCAUAUCUAAAACUGUUUAACCUUUAUGUUGCAUCGUUUUGCGUGAUACCAUGUGAAAAUGGUUUAAUUCGUAGCUAGUUAACCGUAACUCCGUUGGAGAUGAGCUAUAUAUAUGUGAACCGACUAGAAUGACGUGUAGUUUCACGUGAACCACUUUGUUGUCGUUUAACAAAAAUAAAAUGUGUUUUGGACAUAUCUGGACAAAUUUCAAAGUCAACACAUGGGAUCGUCUCAGAAAUGCUAUAUGUCAUUUCCGGCCUCAUUUAAAAUGUCUAGAUAGGUAAUUUAUUUGUGCUUCACCUCUUUCCAUGUUUAAACAACAUUUAAUACUGUCAUGUAUCAAAACGGGAGUGAACUAAAUAACUCGUAUGUGGAGUUUCGUCAAUAUGCAACUCGUUACAUAUUGAGCUUCACUUAAUGUGUAGUGUUUGGCGGUUGUGAAUUGCUAUGCCAUGCCUUGCAUAAUUCAACUGGACAUGCAUCAUAUUAGGUUGUGCAUCAUAUCGUGCAUGUGACGUGGUGAAUGUCGUGUGUUGAUUCUUGUUUUCAGUUCGCUUCGUCUCAGUAGAGUUCCAUAAGCGUGUAGGAAUGUGAGGAUCCGUUCGACUACGUCGGUCCAUCUGCUUCACGGAUUCGUUCUUCUUCCAAGCGGGAUCGCAAGCAAGAUGAUAAUUUCCCUAUAUACCAUUACUAUCAAUGUCAUGCUAGUUGUCUCGUUUCUUUCAUUAUGUCUCGUUGCCUACCACCUAUUAAAUGUCAGCCUGUCAACAUUGCCAUAAACCUUCAACCUUUUUACAACCUAGCAAACCACUGAUUGGCUAUGUUAUCGCUUGCUUAACCAUGUGUUAACGUUGCUAGUUACAGAUGCAGUUGCUUCCAUGUGAAAACAUGGGUUCCUUGUUAUGUCCCCAUAUUAAUGCCAUUUAAUUUAAAGCACCUAUAUACUUGGUAAAAGGUGGAAGGCUCGGCCUUUCUAGCCUGGUGUUUUGUUCCAUCUUUACCGCCC
rnacentral:lncRNA from 1 species